rnacentral:rRNA from 1 species
AUGGCCCUGCAGGGGAAGAAGCUCAUAAACAACCCCGACGAUGUGGUGACUGAGUUCAUCGAGGGGCUGGUGGAGACCUACCAGGGCCUGCAGUACCUGGACGGGUUCCCUGAGAUUAAAGUUGUUCUUCGCGCUGAUGCUGUGGGCGGUGCCUAUGACAAGGUUGCUGUCAUCUCAGGUGGUGGAAGUGGUCAUGAGCCAGCCCAUGCGGGAUUUGUUGGGCCAGGAAUGUUGACAGCUGCUGUUUCUGGAGAUGUUUUUGCUUCUCCACCUGUUGAUUCUAUUUUAGCUGCUAUUCGAGCUGUAACGGGCACCAUGGGAUGCCUUCUGAUAAUAAAGAACUACACUGGUGAUAGACUUAAUUUUGGAUUAGCUGCUGAGCAGGCAAAAUCUGAAGGCUAUAAGAUAGAGAUGGUAAUUGUUGGAGAUGAUUGUGCCCUUCCCCCGCCUCGGGGGAUAGCUGGUAGAAGAGGUUUAGCAGGAACAAUUCUUGUGCAUAAGGUUGCUGGGGCUGCUGCAGAUGCUGGCUUAUCUCUUGCAGAUGUUGCUGCAGAAGCAAAACAUGCAUCUGAGGCUGUUGGUACAAUGGGAGUAGCACUUUCUGUUUGCACGUUGCCUGGGCAAGUGACAUCUGAUCGUUUAGGUCCUGAGCAAAUUGAGCUUGGCCUUGGAAUUCAUGGAGAACCUGGUGCUGCUGUUGUUGAGCUACAGACGGUUGAUGUGGUGGUCGAACAUGUUCUUAAGCAGAUACUAUCACAGGAAACUCAGUAUCUUCCUAUCACAAGAGGGAGCAAUGCUGUUCUCCUAAUCAAUGGAUUAGGUGCUACUCCUGUCAUGGAGCUUAUGAUUGCAGCAAGAAAAGCGGUGCCUGAGUUACAGUUGGAGUAUGGGAUUGCUGUUGACAGAGUCUACACUGGCACAUUUAUGACAUCACUUGAUAUGGCUGGACUUUCUAUCACCAUUAUGCGAUCAGAUGAAAACAUUUUGCAGCGACUUGACGCUCCCACUAAAGCUCCAGCUUGGCCUGUUGGUUCUGAAGGAAAUCGCCCACCAGCAAAAUUCCCGGUUCCAGUACCACCAUCACCUUCAAUGAAGGAUGAUGAGAUUCUUUCAGAACGCCAGGAACUAAGCAAGCAAGGCUGUAUGUUGGAGGCCGCUAUUGAAGCAGCUGCUAAAGAACUCAUUGAUCUCAAGGAUAACCUAAAUGAUUGGGACAGUAAAGUCGGUGACGGUGACUGUGGAACUACGAUGUAUAGAGGUGCAACAGCUAUUCUUGAAGAUAUGAAAACACGUUAUCAUCUGAACGAUGCAGCUGGAACAGUAAAUGAGAUUGGGUCAACAAUCCGGAAGGUGAUGGGUGGAACAAGUGGAAUCCUGUAUGACAUACUCUGCAAGGCUGCAUAUGCAAGCUUAAAACAAAACAAAAAUAUUACGGCAUAUGAAUGGGCUGAUGCUUUAGAAGCCUCUAUUGCUGCUGUUAGCAAAUAUGGUGGUGCCAGAGCAGGAUAUCGCACAAUGUUGGAUGCUCUGAUUCCCGCUUCUACAGUUUUGAAACAGUCGCUUAAAGCUGGGGAUGAUCCGGUGACUGCAUUCAUCGCUUCUUCUGAAGCAGCAUUAGCUGGCGCUGAAUCCACUAAACAAAUGCAAGCAAAGGCAGGACGGUCAUCGUACAUCUCUCCCGACCAUCUGGUUUCAAUUCCUGACCCAGGAGCAAUGGCUGCAGCUGCAUGGUACCGGGCCGCAGCGCUUUCGGUGAAGAACAAGCUGCAUGCUUCAGAAAGCUAG